GUGUCAGCAGCCGCGGUAAUACCCGCAGCUCAAGUGGUGGUCAUUAUUAUUGGGCCUAAAGCGUCCGUAGCUGGCCUGUUAGAUGCCUGGGUAAAUCGAAGCGCUCAACGUUUCGACUUCCGGGUAGACCGGCAGGCUCGGGACCGGGAGAGGUGUAGGGUACUCGGGGGGUAGGGGUAAAAUCCUGUAAUCCUCCGGGGACGACCCGUGGCGAAGGCGCUACACUAGAACGGCUCCGACAGUGAGGGACGAAGCCCUGGGGCGCAAACCGGAUUAGAAACCCGAGUAGUCC
rnacentral:rRNA from 1 species